UCAGACGAUGCGUCAUGCAUAUCAAUAAGCGGAGGAAAAGAAACUAACAAGGAUUCCCCUAGUAACGGCGAGUGAAGCGGGAAGAGCUCAAAUUUGGAAUCUUCAAGGUUUGACCUUGACGAAUUGUAGUUUAAAGAAGUGUUUUCGGUUAGAGGAGUGGUAAAAGUUCUUUGGAAUAGGACAUCAUAGAGGGUGAGAAUCCCGUAUUUGACCAUUAUCUCCAGCUUUGUGAUACACUUUCAAAGAGUCGGAUUGUUUGGGAAUGCAGUCCAAAAUGGGUGGUAAAUUUCAUCUAAAGCUAAAUACUGGCGAGAGACCGAUAGCGAACAAGUACCGUGAGGGAAAGAUGAAAAGAACUUUGAAAAGAGAGUUAAACAGUACGUGAAAUUGUCAAAAGGGAAGCGUUUGACACCAGUGUUGUUUUCUCGAAAAUCAAUUAAAAAGAGGAUUCAUGCUAGUAGUAUUGACCUCAUCAGCUUGCUGCUUAGUUUUCUGUCAUUUUUUUAAUGCACUUUUCGUUUAACAAGUCAACAUCAGUUUCUUUUGCUGUAAAAAGGGUAGAUGGAAGGUGGCUUUAGUCUUCGGCUGAAAGUGUUUAUAGCCUCUGAUCUCUGCAAUCGGAGAGACUGAGGUCUGCAGCGUAGAUCCUUCGGGGUUAGAUACAUUUGUGCUAAGCUACAGCUUUUCAUAGACAACUUGUUGACUAUGUUUAGUCUUGUAACUUACCCGCUUAUGCUAUUUUACCUACGCUUAGGAUGUUGAUAUGCAUGACUGAUAU
rnacentral:rRNA from 1 species